AGCUCCAAUAGCGUAUAUUAAAGUUGUUGCAGUUAAAAAGCUCGUAGUUGGAUUUCUGUCUUGAGAAAGUGCUUCGUGAAUUAUUCACGAGCAUUAACUCAGGCAUUUUCUGCUGUUCCUACCUUACGGUAGGUGCGGUAGAACCUUUACUUUGAGAAAAUUAGAGUGUUUCAGGCAAGCGUUUGCUUUGAAUACUACAGCAUGGAAUAAUACUAUAGGACUUCGGGCCUAUUUGUUGGUUUCUAGGUCUGAAGUAAUGAUUAAUAGGGACAGUUGGGGGCAUUCGUAUUCGACAGUCAGAGGUGAAAUUCGUAGAUUUGUCGAAGACGAACUAGUGCGAAAGCAUUUGCCAAGGAUGUUUUCA
rnacentral:rRNA from 1 species